rnacentral:rRNA from 1 species
UACGUAGGGGGCAAGCGUUGUCCGGAAUCAUUGGGCGUAAAGAGCGUGUAGGCGGCUUGGUAAGUCCGCUGUGAAAGUCCAGGGCUCAACCCUGGAAUGCCGGUGGAAACUGUCAAGCUUGAAUCCGGAAGAGGCGAGUGGAAUUCCUGGUGUAGCGGUGAAAUGCGCAGAUAUCAGGAGGAACACCAAUGGCGAAGGCAGCUCGCUGGGACGGUACUGACGCUGAGACGCGAAAGCGUGGGGAGCAAACAGG